rnacentral:ribozyme from 1 species
UGCCCAGCAACUCCUAUCUCUACCUCCUCGUGGUACUGGCCGGAGAAGAUCGUGUAACCAUCCCUGGUGGGAACUCUGGUCGUAUGCUGAGAGGGAAGG